rnacentral:rRNA from 1 species
UACGGAAGGCAGCAGUGGGGAAUAUUGCACAAUGGGCGAAAGCCUGAUGCAGCCAUGCCGCGUGUAUGAAGAAGGCCUUCGGGUUGUAAAGUACUUUCAGCGGGGAGGAAGGCGGUGAAGUUAAUAGCUUCACCGAUUGACGUUACCCGCAGAAGAAGCACCGGCUAACUCCGUGCCAGCAGCCGCGGUAAUACGGAGGGUGCAAGCGUUAAUCGGAAUUACUGGGCGUAAAGCGCACGCAGGCGGUCUGUCAAGUCGGAUGUGAAAUCCCCGGGCUUAACCUGGGAACUGCAUUCGAAACUGGCAGGCUAGAGUCUUGUAGAGGGGGUAGAAUUCCAGGUGUAGCGGUGAAAUGCGUAGAGAUCUGGAGGAAUACCGGUGGCGAAGGCGGCCCCUGGACAAGACUGACGCUCAGGGUGCGAAAGCGUGGGGAGCGAAACAGGGAUUAGAUACC